rnacentral:lncRNA from 10 species
GUGUGCCCAGAGCUCUCUAGAGCACCAGUCACCAUGUAACAAAUGCAGACAUCUCUGAGAUCACCAUGCAGUGAGGAAGUCUAAGCUGGUGGCAUGAAGAGGCCACAUGGAAAGGGCUAAAAAAGGGGCCAGCCUCAGUCAUCCCAGCUGAGCACCUGGCUGGGAAUAAAAGAGGACUCCGUGGAUGUCCAGCCCAGUAAGAUGACCUCAGCCCCAGCCACCAACUGACCAAGCACACAAGACAUCGUGAGGCUGCCUGCUGGAGCCUGGCCAGUGGGACUGUAGAGUAACUCAUUGUCGUGCAGGAACUCCUGGGAUGGUGUUGCCCAGUGACACAAUCCCAGUGUGGCCAUUUCUGAUCCCGAGAAAGCAGUCAGGAGUGGGUGGAUGCAGUUACAGUUCAUCAAGUCCUGCUAGUUCAAGUCAUGAGUCCUGAAUUCUCCAGGAGGAGCCACUAAAGAAAUGCAGAAGCAGGCAA